AUUGAACGCUGGCGGCAGGCUUAACACAUGCAAGUCGAACGGCAGCACGGGAGCAAUCCUGGUGGCGAGUGGCGAACGGGUGAGUAAAGUAUCGGAACGUGCCCAGUCGUGGGGGAUAACGUAGCGAAAGUUACGCUAAUACCGCAUACGAUCUAUGGAUGAAAGCGGGGGAUCGCAAGACCUCGCGCGAUUGGAGCGGCCGAUAUCAGAUUAGGUAGUUGGUGGGGUAAAGGCUCACCAAGCCGACGAUCUGUAGCUGGUCUGAGAGGACGACCAGCCACACUGGGACUGAGACACGGCCCAGACUCCUACGGGAGGCAGCAGUGGGGAAUUUUGGACAAUGGGCGAAAGCCUGAUCCAGCCAUGCCGCGUGCAGGAUGAAGGCCUUCGGGUUGUAAACUGCUUUUGUACGGAACGAAAAGGUUUGGGCUAAUAAGCUGAGCUCAUGACGGUACCGUAAGAAUAAGCACCGGCUAACUACGUGCCAGCCGCCGCUGUAA
rnacentral:rRNA from 1 species